UCCGCCUUAGCUCAGUUGGUAGAGCAAAUGACUGUUAAUCAUUGGGUCGCAGGUUCGAGUCCUGCUGCCGGAGCCA
rnacentral:tRNA from 1 species